AAAAUCCUACAGAAGUAUUCUUUCUUUUCUAGGUGGCCGUCUCCUGCUCCUCCUACCCACCCGCCUCAAUCAUGCUUUGGGUCUCCAUCCAGAACGUGUUCUUCGAGGACAGUAACUCCCACAGGGAAAGCAGCAUCUGGCCAUGUGGGUGAUCUAUUCUCCAGCCUCUCGAAGUUGUGUAGUUAAUGUACACCCGGUGCAUUCAAGGCUGUAGAACUGGAACACAGGGCGCUAAACCUACCCGGAGAAGACUGUAAACAGUAAGUGCAAAAAUUAUGUGUGGAAUUCUAUACACCGUUGAAAUACGAGAUCCAGCUUUGA
rnacentral:lncRNA from 1 species